rnacentral:lncRNA from 1 species
AAAGUCAAGGAGACUUCAAAGAUGAGAAAUGAUUGCACUGGGCCUUAGAGAGGAAGUUCAGCAGAACAAGGUGGGAAGGGCACGAUAUCAGAGUAAGAGGCACUGAUGGUGAACAAAUAUAGAGACUGGAAUCCAGUGACGUCACACAGGCGCUCUGGAAGCCAGUGAUGCAGUAUCAGAAUCUGGGAACACAAUGAGGCAAUGUUUCAGCUGCUUGUGCAUUCUUCACCUCCCAUUGUCUCUGUCUCUCUCUUUCUCCUCUGCUUCCCCUCACCCCACAACCAAAGUCAAGAGCGCAGACCCCAUGAUCACCUGAUACUUCCAAGCAAGCAGGUGUUCUUUUCAGAAGCCAGAAGCUGAUAACCUGGGCUUUCUGAUCUAACCCCAGCCCAAAUUCAUUGCAAUGGAGGAAUUGGGGAGGAGAUUCUUCCUACUGAGAAGUGGGUGCCAACUCUCCCUUUCAAAUUUGUUCAUCAACAAACUAAAGGGGAUGCCAGAAAUGUCUGGAGCAAUGGAAGAACCACUGGAAUAAUGCUCCUGCCUGAUUGUAUCUACUUAACCCACUCUCCAAGAGCCAGAAUCAGAUUUCAACCGUAUGGAAUCAUCUACAAUGCAGCAGAUGGGUUUACAAGUCUCUUGGUCUCUUCAUGAAGAAGGCGCAGCAAUCGUGUCCCAAGUCCUUGAGGACUUCACAGGGUGUUCUAGUGUCCUGAGAAUAUACCUGCCUAAGGAAUUUGGCUAUAGCUGGUAUUGGGUUCCUCAAACCAGCCCACCUGCGCUAUGGGAAUGUCAAAAUUGUCCUGGCAAGCUGAGGGGGCAUCCAGAGGUCACCCAGCUUUCCCCUGAAGCGUUGCUCAGAGGCCACUGUACCAUAAAAGGGAGUUCCCAUCCCACACUGGUUCUGAAAGCCCUGGUGUCCAGGCCCGUGUUGUGAUCUUUUCUCCUCUGCCUAGGGCGUAUCUGUUAGGGAGACUCCCAUGAGGGAGGGGAGCCGAGGGAAGAGGCUGAGUGAGGUGAAGAGAGUGUGUUUGUCCCUCCAGCUGUGCCAGGGUCUUCUCAGCCCUUCUCACAGAGGGCUGUCUGUGGACCUCUGUUCCUGGAAUCACCCCUCUGCACCACCCAAACUCCCUGAUUAUGAAUUACACAAUACAUCCCUAAUUCAA